rnacentral:rRNA from 1 species
CCAGAGAACUUAGCAGAGAUGCUUUGGUGCCUUCGGGAACUCUGAGACAGGUGCUGCAUGGCUGUCGUCAGCUCGUGUUGUGAAAUGUUGGGUUAAGUCCCGCAACGAGCGCAACCCUUAUCCUUUGUUGCCAGCGGCUCGGCCGGGAACUCAAAGGAGACUGCCGGUGAUAAACCGGAGGAAGGUGGGGAUGACGUCAAGUCAUCAUGGCCCUUACGGCCAGGGCUACACACGUGCUACAAUGGCGCAUACAAAGAGAAGCGACCUCGCGAGAGCAAGCGGACCUCACAAAGUGCGUCGUAGUCCGGAUUGGAGUCUGCAACUCGACUCCAUGAAGUCGGAAUCGCUAGUAAUCGUAGAUCAGAAUGCUACGGUCGAAUACGUUCCCGGGCCUUGUACACACCGCCCGUCACACCAUGGGAGUGGGUUGCAAAGGAAGUAGGUAGCUUAACCUUCGGGAGGGCGCUUACCACUUUGUGAUUCAUGACUGGGGUGAAGUCGUAACAAGGUAGGCGUAGCGAG